UCAUGUUGGAACUAGGAGCUGACAUCUACCCAAGAGUAAUGAAACCCGGCAUAUUCAACCCCGAUAACAGCACCGUGAUCGCACAAAACACCGCACUCGGUUGGACUUUAACCGGUGCUUGUGCGAUUUAAACCCCAAACACUGCAAGGCGGCCGGGAUGUUCAUACCAAAUGAACACAUCCCUGCAUUGUCCUCCUAACUCGUCGAAAUACGAAUUAGAGGACAAUGCAAAAAACACCCAACAGCGCCAAUAUAACAACGAAGAACCCAACAAAACAUAAUAAACCAAAUCACCAAAGCGGACGGACAUUCAGGCGCCAAGCAGCAGCAGUGUAUCAGCAGUAAUAACAACCACAACAGCAGUGUAUCAGCAGCAACAACAACCACAGCAGCAUCACAGUAGCAGAAUCCAAAAUCUCAACGCGGGAAUAAAUAACCACAUCAGGUUUCACUUAAUUUAUUCAUAUUUAUAUAUAUAUACAUACCCACCCCUCAAUUGUAUACCCACAAUUAUAUUUAUUAACCCAUAUAUGUACAUACAUAUAUUGUAAUUACUUGAAUAUACAACUCCGAAUUGUUAUCCAAACGCUAA